rnacentral:lncRNA from 1 species
AAAACGAGGCAGAUAUAAAGGCAUGUCAAUUUCUUGCCACUCUACUUGGAGGAGGAGAAGGUGGCAAAUCUGCACGGGAAAAGAAUGCGGUGGACCAGGAAGCAGCAAUAAUGCUAAAGACUUUACAGUCACAAGCUGAGGGUCAGUUGAAGGUCAUUACUGACUAUGAGGCAAGAGAGGGCACUGCCUGUCACUUUCGUAAUGUGCUGAAGGCAAUGGAAGCUGAUAGUCAGGAGGACGUUGUGAUGAAAGACCCUAACACCAUAUAACAUGGAGUUAAUUUAGAGUCAUAUCCGAUGGGUGAUUCCCAUAUGCUUGGAAACUAUUAUAGAUGUAAUAAUGAACGUAAUGAAAUAAUAGACGUAAUGAUUGAGUGGGAUGAUUUGGUGAUCAAAAAUUAAUGUAAAAGCUUUUUACAAGUACUAGUCCAUGCCCGUUAGGUGGUCAAAGCUGAUCACACAAGAUAAAAAAAAAA